CCUACGGGUGGCAGCAGUGGGGAAUAUUGGGCAAUGGAGGAAACUCUGACCCAGCAACGCCGCGUGAAUGAUGAAGGUCUUCGGAUUGUAAAGUUCUUUUCUAAGGGAAGCAGAAAGUGACGGUACCUUAGGAAUAAGCCUCGGCUAACUACGUGCCAGCAGCCGCGGUAAUACGGCGGAGGCAAUCGUUAUCCGGAAUGACUGGGCGUAAGGGGUGCGUAGGUGGUUUGACAAGUUGGUAGCGUAACUCCGGGGCCCAACCCCGGCACUACUACCAAAACUGUCGGACUUGAGUGCAGGAGAGGCAAAUGGAAUGCCUAGUGUAGCGGUGGAAUGCGUAGAUAUUAGGAAGAACACCAGUGGCGAAGGCGAUUUGCUGGACUGUAACUAACACUGAGGCACGAAAGCGUGGGGAGCAAACAGGAUUAGAUACCCGAGUAGUC
rnacentral:rRNA from 1 species